GCUGGGGAUAACCGCCCUCUGUGUUUUUUUAAUCCCUUUUUUUUGCACCUCACUUCAAACUAAGAACACGUCUCCGUGGGACAAACCCCCGCCCCCACAAAUGACCAUUGACACCGACGUUAAUGUAGAAGAAGAGAUCCGGAAUCCGGACUGGAGCGCAAACAGGCCGGCCGGGAGGAGGGGGAGGCACAGACCAGCAGAACGGUUCAGCAAGCAAAGCAGUCGCUGGACAUGCAGAAGAGAGGCGAGGUGAGGAGGAUGACAACAGAAGCAUCUACAACGGCGAGGAAGGGAUGAGAAGGAGACUGAAAAAAGAGAAGGAAGUGGAGCUCCGAAGUGCCUGCUGCGAGGGGGUCGUCUGCCGCCGUUAAUCUGCCGGAUGAGAGCCGGGCUCGGCGCGCGCUCGGCCUUGAACGGAGGCUGUAUUUCAUCCUGACGGCCCACAGAGCCGUCCGUCCCACGCCGCCGAGCUGCAGCCGCCACCUCGCCUCACUGCUGCAAAGACACCGCCCUCUGUAAGGUUCUGCUUUGGUUUGUCGGGGGGAGUUUUUUUUCCGCGCUCUCUUUCAAACGUAACUACGGCGACUGCCCCCGGCC
ensembl:lncRNA